AACGCGAAGAACCUUACCUACCCUUGACAUGGAUGGAAUCCCGAAGAGAUUUGGGAGUGCUCGAAAGAGAACCAUCACACAGGUGCUGCAUGGCUGUCGUCAGCUCGUGUCGUGAGAUGUUGGGUUAAGUCCCGCAACGAGCGCAACCCUUGUCAUUAGUUGCUACGAAAGGGCACUCUAAUGAGACUGCCGGUGACAAACCGGAGGAAGGUGGGGAUGACGUCAAGUCCUCAUGGCCCUUAUGGGUAGGGCUUCACACGUCAUACAAUGGUACUUUCAGAGGGCCGCCAACCCGCGAGGGGGAGCUAAUCCC
rnacentral:rRNA from 1 species